rnacentral:lncRNA from 1 species
CCCACCACCGAUCCAUUCACCACCACCACCAGUCCACUCACUCCCACCAUCACUAGUCCACUCACAUUCACCGCCAGUGCACUCGCCUCUACCACCAAUUCACUCACCCCCACCACCGGUUCAUUCACCUCCACCAUCAGUGCACUCGCCUCCACCACUAGUCCAUUCUCCUUCCCCACCAGCGCACUCGCCUCUACCACCCGUUCAUUCCCCUCCACCACUAGUGCACUCACCCCCACCACCAGUCCAUUUUCCUCCACCACCGCCAGUGCACUCGCCUCCACCACCAAUUCACUCACCUUCACCACUGGUCCAUUCACCUCCACCACCGGUGCGCUCGCCUCCACUACUAAUCCAUUCUCUUCCACCGCCAGCGUACUCACCUCCACCACCCGUUCACUCCCCUCCACCACCAGUGCACUCACCCCAACCACCAGUUCAUUCUCAUCCACCACCUGUCCAUUCUCUUCCACCACCAAUGCAUUCACCCCCACCACCCGUCCAUUCCCCCCCACCACCCGUCCACUCCCCUCCACCACUAGUGCACUCACCUCCACCACCAGUGCACUUACCCCCACCACCAGUCCAUUUUCCUCCACCACCAGUGCACUCACCCCCACCACCAAUCUACUCACCUCCACCACCUGUCCAUUCUCCUCCGCUACCAGUGCACUCACCCCCACCACCAGCACCAGUUCACUCACCGCCACCUCUAGUCCAAUCACCACCACCAGCUUCUCCAUCUUUAUCACCUCCUGUUCCCAUUUUCUCACCACCCCCUCCAGACUUCGUCUUGCCAUCGACCUUCGGGUUCCAAUACUCAUCUCCACCUCCGCCAAUGUUCCCAGGCUACUAAGCGCACUACGAUAUCAAACUCAUUGCUCGCCCCUGCAUGAAACUUUGUUUAUAAAUAUUUACAAUCUCACAAAAAUACACCCACUUUUGUUAGUUGACCAUAGCUUUUAAUUCAUGACAUCAAAGUGUAAAUCUUUUCAUAUGCUAUUCAAUGCAAUAAAAGGACGUUAUCGGCAAAUUGCAUAUCCAUUUUUUUUUCUUUUGUUUAAUUUGAAGAAUCUGAUGUGUGUGAAUGCAUACUACUACAAAAGAUCAAGCACCACUACAUCUAAUUCUAGGGUAAUUCUAGAGAGAUCAUAGUCUUCCUUGCAGUUUCCAUAAUUCUAUUAUAUUACCUUAUAACGUUGAUUAGUUUUCUAGACCGUCGUAAAAUGAGUGUUAGCUCACAUUUAAAAAAAAAUGUGAGUUUCUUCAAGAUCUUUUGUGUUCGUUUUAAAAGAAAAAUUUAUAAGCUACCAUUUAACUCUUAAUUAGGGGGUUUUAAGUUUGGAAACAAAAUACAAUAAAAUACUAGCUAUCGGGGCCUAUAUUGAUUUUUGACAGCUAUAAUGGAUUUUUGGCGGCCAAAACAUCUCUGUAAUAUCUUACAUGAAUUUAAAGAAGUUUUAUAGUGAAGUGUUAAUGCCAGAAAAUAGGUUUUAUGAUGGUGUUUGUGAAACUUUUGCAAAAACAAUUGAAACAUGAUGAGUUACACCUCACAAUUCUUGUAAGGCAUAAUUUGAUAUAUGUCCAUUUUUGUAAAGUUCUUAUUAGGAGUAGUUCAAUUUUGUGUAGGGUGGUGCUCUUCACACAUCAUUUUUUUUUUAGAGUAAAUUGUACAAAUGGUCCCUCAACUUUAAUUAAAUUGGAGCAAUGGUCCCUCAACUAAAAAUCCAUUACCUUUGGUCCCUCAACUUAUCAAAACGUGCAGCUAUGAUCCCUCAACUAAAAAUCCAUUACCAUUGGUCCCUGAACUUUAAUUCAAGUGGAGAAAUGGUCCUUUAACUUUAACCCAAUUGUAGCAAUGGUCCUUUCAAUAUAACUCGUUUUGACAAAUUUUUUGACAUAGUUGACGAAAAGAACCAUAAUUAUACACUUUGAUGAGUUAAGGGACCCUAAUUAUAUAAAUGAUCAUUCCAACAUAGCUUAUUUUGACAAAAUUUUGACAAAAUUGAUGAAAAGGACUAUAGCUACACAUUUUGAUAAGUUGAGGGACCAAUGGUAAUGGAUUUUUAGUUGAGGGACCAUUGCUCCAAUUUGAUUAAAGUUGAGGGACCAUUUGUACAAUUUACUCUUUUUUUUAUCUUCCACUCACAUUCUAUAAUUUUUGCCUUUUGAUCAUUUUUAAUUCAUUUGAUCCGACGGUAUUGAGACGAGCAUGUAGAAGGUAAAAGGGUGUGUGGAUAACAUUAGGGCCGUCUUUGAGAUUCCCUAUGCGAAAUUUAUAAAAGGACUCCUCGUUAAGAUAGUUACAAAAAAGUAAGACAAUAUAUUGAUGCUAAAAAACAAUCACUUAAAUCAAAACAAAAUUUAUCACUCACGGAUUGCAAGUUUACAAAUGUCAUUAAUUAUAAGUAAAAAAGCUACAAACAUAACCUUCAUUAAAUAAUAAUAAAAAUUCAAUCUUAAACAACCAAACAUGAAAAAAAUGAAAAAUGAAAAUAAAAAAUAAAAAAAUUCAAAACUCUAACUUUAAAGUUUCACUUGAAUAUUCUCUAUAAUAAAAUUGAAAAAAAAAAUAUCGUUUUUAGGAUGUUAUUAUUAACACUCAAAAUAUCUCAUUGUACUCCAAAUUUUUAUAUUUAAAAAGGAAAAAAAUUAUUCUUAUAAGGGUUCAAAUAUAGAACAUUAUUACAUAAUAUUAGAUGGCAAAAUUUUAGGACCCCUUCAAAUUUGGGGCCUUGUGCCCCCUCUAGACAAGACCACCCUGUUGUGUUAUUGUUGAAUUAUGUCUAAUGACAGAGACUCCAUGUAAGCAUUUUUUUUUGUAACAAAUUUAUCCCUUAAGUAAUUAGUAUUAUUCUAUAAUGUUAGUACCAAAUUCACGCAUCACUAUGUGUGGAGAAGAUGCACAAACUUGACUGCUUGUAAAAGAGUAAACGCAAGUAAGACAACAUUGGCACCAUUGGGGUACACCGACCAAAAAUUAAGUAUCAUUUGAGUUUUUGUUACGUUUCAUACCUCAGUCAUAAAUGAAAUAUAUUCAUCUACUUAUACCACAUUUGUUUUUAAUCUACCUCUAUCACAGGUUCUUUUUGCUAGGUUUUUGUGUUUGCCCUAUAACGUUUAUAAGUAUGUCAUACUUUAACCCUAAAAUGAAGGUAUCAUAUAUGCUUCCAUCGUUUUCUCAACCUCUGUGAUAUUAUUAUGGUUUUAUAGGUAUACACAACAUAUGAUUUUUUUUAAAACUAUUUUAUUUUAUUUUAUUUAAUAAAAAAGUACUUUCGUAGAUAAUUGUAAGUUUGAAUAUAUAUAAAUAUUUAAAAACUUAUGUUACUGGUGCGUUAGUUAAGGAUUUUUUUUUUUUGCAGAUUAGUUAAGGAAUUUAAAUAUAUUCUUUGUUACCUCAAAGAGUGAAAUAGGCACAAAAACAAGAAAAUAUAAUUGAACUCACUUAAAAUUUAGCAUAUGAUUUUGGACCUCAAUCUAAAAACCCAUUUUCAUAAAAUAUGUGACAGUUAUAUUUUUGCAAGAUCUUCCCAGUAAGAAAAUUAAUAUAAAUUAUGUGGAAGCGGUCUUGCAAUUUACUGAAUCUCAUAAGUGUUGUAAUUUAAGUUGGAAAACACAAAAAAUAAAUAAACUAGCAAGGCCUAAAAUACAUUUCGGAAGCCAGAACGGUUUUUUGGUCGCUAAAAUAUCUUUGGAAUGCCCUGUAAGAAUUAUAACGGAGCUUAUAGUGCAACAAAAAUGGCACGGAAAUUGAUUAUAUUGUAGAACUUUGCAAAAUCAUUAAAACUUAGGAUUAUAACUCACAAUAUUGUUAAAAAUACGAUUGUUGAGUACUUGAGUUUUAGCAUCGUUUUUGCACGCACAUCACAAAAAAUGUUAGGUAACGGGCCUACCAUUUGGUGACUCUUAUAAGUGAUUUUUAUAGCAUUUUAUGAUGGAGAAAUGGAAAAAUCUAUAAUAAAAUAGGAAUGAGGAUCCUCUUUGGAUCCUCUUUGUGAGGAUCCCGGGGAUCUUCCAAUUACGUCCAUUCAUCGUAUAUUGUAUAAUUAUUUUUCGUCAGGUACUAUUUAUAUUCAAUUUUAAAUAAAAAAAUUUACAAUGAUUUCUAACUGCACGAUGUAAAGAAAUGAUUGGAGGAUCCUCAUUCAUAAAAUAGUGGGAUUUAGAGCACAUAAAUAUCCGACAUCAAUUAAAAAAUUUCAACGGCAAAUGUGUAAUGUUCUGCUGACACACCCCGUCCCGAAGGAGGGCAUGCUGGCCGUCACGUGAGAGUGACGUAACCAUUUGCACAGUACGGAAGCUUUAAGAUACAAUUUAUAAGUUGAUACACCCGAAGGUGAGUCCUAAUUUUGUCCAAUCUGUCAGAACACCGUCGAAUUCCUCGUAGUCACCACACCUUUGUGAUUCCUGAACCUGGAGGGGCGCAAAACCAAAAUUGAGUGGGUCAGUAAAACAAUUCUUUUCCAAAUCCAAACAUUUCUCAAAACGUUGUAACCCCUCUUCGUAAAACCUGUAUACUUUCCCAGAAAUGUAAAAUAUAAAUAUACAUAUAUAUUCUCAAUACUUCAAUUCAUUAACUCAACAUUUUUCAGUACAAAUAUGCCAUGCCAUGUCGGAAUUCAACAGUUAAUUAUGGAUGCAUCAACAAUAAUCAUAUCAGGUGUAAGAAAGUGAUCAACCGGAGGCCCUCUAAUAGCCCUGUACGGUUGAACCUAGAGCUCAAAAUCUAUCACUAUCACUCUGCCGGAGUCACCUCUGUGACCUGUACGGCCUUCUGCACAUAAGUUACGCUCUAGUGCUUUCUCAUUAAUCAUCUGUGCACAUAAUCUAAGGUCACCCACCAGUCGAAAUCUCACUAACACUCUUCGACUGGCCCGUCGCACCCACUCCGCGUGGACUGUGCGACCAGCAUCUACUUGGAUCCAAGGCGAGCGUGCGAUGCGGUGAAUACUAUAAGCACUAAACUAUGGUGCAGGAUUUGAGCUCAAUAUACAUCAACAUCAUCAUAUCAGUAUUUAAAUACUCACCUGAUACUCACCUGUGCGUCCGCCGCACCAUUCAUUCAUAUGCAUCAUAUCUCAAUUCAUACUUUUCAUAUCAUUUCAUGCAUGGCAAUUCGAUUCACAUUUCUAUAUACUAUGCAUAUACUUUUAUGCAUGGCAUCUCAAUUCACAUUUCAAUAUACUUUUCAUAUAAUUUUAUACAUUGCAUUUAAAGCAUAAUUUCAUGCAUUUUCAAUUUCUGGGAAAACGGUAAGUAUAUAUGUAUACGGAAAACAAAACUGCCCACUCACCUGGAGUUCGCCCUACAACUCCCUAGCACAAUACGCCAAGCGUCAUGACGAUCGGCGCCUAAAACAAUAAUCAAUUCCAACCUCAGAAUUCAUAUCGAUAGAAUAUAUAACUUAUACAAAAUACGUCACUACGUAGUUCAAUCCGGAAGAUCCACCACUCAGAUUUUAAAUCCAUAACUUCCAGAGGUCCACAAUAUAUCUCUAGGAUAACUUCCUAAAAUUUCAUUACCAUCCAACGGUCGGAUCUCCGUCAAUUUCCAAAACUAAGUGACGGUUAACAUUUUAUUUUAUGAACUUACAACUCCAAUUCCGGAAGAUCCGUAACUCGGAUUCCCAAUCCGUAAGUUCCAAUAAUCCUCAAACAUUACGUAUUGCAACGUAUUAAAUUUUGGUAACGAUCCAACGGUCGGAUCAUCAAUUCACAUUUUCACCUAAUGCGAAAACUAUAAAACGUUAUUCGAACACCUAACCAACAAUCCUUAAUAACUUUCUCAUACGGUGCUCAAUUUGGGUAUAUGAAUAUACCACAGUGAUCUACUCGACGUCACGGACGUCGACAUAUUUUUAAAAUAAUAUUUUAAUGUAUCACGCGCCCCCACGCGCCAAGGAAGGCACGGGUCCACGCGCGCCCACGCGCACCUUCUUCCUCGCGGGUUCGCCGGACUGGUUUUUCCGGUGGCCGGAAAACUGGGGAAUUUUCAAAUGCUUCGUUCUCCUUCGUUUCUCAACCAUUUUCUUCGUAUAAUAUAUCAAUUUAAAGCCCUCAACAAGAAUCACAAUAUACUACUUUUAAGCUUCAAAAACAACUAAAUCUCACCGGAAAAAUCCAAGCAAAACCGGCCAAACUUAACCCUCGUGAUCCCGACGUCCAAAUCCUUCCAACGAAGCACUCCGAGCUUCCUUGGGACCUCACUAAGCUCGCUGUGAUCUUGUUUUAGCCUAAAUCGUAACCAUUUAAAAGAUCAUGAACAGUACAUAAACACGGGACCUUAAAAACUAGGGUUUUCCGAAGCAAAACUUACCUGAAAUGGAUACCAUCGUGAUCGUGAAGUCUUCAGGGUUCCAAUGGUGGUCUUAGAUUCGUCGUUGGUAUAGAUUUAGGGUGGUUUUGUGGUGGUCCGUGUGAGUUCGAAUGAGAGGGAGAGAGAACUGAGAGUUUCGUGAGGGAGGAGAGAGAGAGUGACAAGGUACGGGAAUUGGGGAAGGUUUUGAGGGAUGUGGGAUCCCCCCGUGUCCAACUCAAUCUCAAUUUCAAACUUUUAACAUAGAGUCUUGGUUUAGGUUUCUAAAACCAAUUAAUAUUCCAAUUCACCAAAGUUUAAGAACCUUAAGUAAAAACAAGUGUCCAAAUUACGUACUUUAGUCCCGUUUAGGGACAUUUUCGUAACUUCACGUCCUCGGAAUUAAAAAUUCCGGGACGGGCUGUGACAAUCUUCCCUCCUUAUAGAAUUUCGUCCCCGAAAUUCCAGCAAUCAACUAAAUCAACCAUACUCCAACAAUAGCCUCAAAUAAAUCUCUCUCAUCCGAUUCUCUUUCUCCCACAUAAUUUUCUACUGAAUGAUUUCCUUCACAAGCUUUUACCACUAUUCUGUCUUAAUUCUCAGGACCUUCUUUUUCCAAUCCCAAGUCGUCCAUAGCUCCUUACUAAUCAGAUCCGGCUUAAUUCUCAAUAGUUGCACCAAAGUCCCAUGUAACGACUCUGCCACUUAGUGACAACGCAUCGAACACAAAAUACAUUAUGUGCCUUAGCCAAUUCUGAAGGCAUCACAAACUUGUAUGCAACUUCGUCGAUUCCUUUAAUGAUCAAAACGGACUGAUGUGUUCAAGACUUAUCUUGUCUCCCUUUCUGAAUCUUACUAUUUCUGUUCAUGGUGAAAUUUCCAAAAAUAUCAAACCAUUUACCUUACACACUUGAUUAGUGGCAUAUCCAUCUGUUAAUCUCUUUUGUCAUUCCUGGCUACUUUCAGGUUAACUUACUCACCUGAAUAUUUUGAGGAGACUCAUCCAUAGUCUCAGGGCCCGCAAGAACUCUUUUGACAACUUCUGUCCAACACAAAGGUGUACUAUAAGGUAACUUGGUAACCAAGCUUCUUGUACGCUAUCCAAAACUUAGAAGUAACCAACAUACUCAAAAACUUAACAGUGUACAUCGUCAAAAUUGCUUUCUUUAAUUCCACAUAAUUUGGCACAUACGUCCCAUUCUCUUGCAUAAACAUACCAUCCAAUUCUGCCUCGGUUAAUUCUUGAAUUCCUUCGUCAAGCAUUUGAGUCUCGAGUACGACCUUACCAAAUAGGCCUAACUUGAAAUUUAACAAGUACAACUUCUUCUCGAUCUUCCAUUCUUAAUUUUUUUUUUCCGUUGGUUUUCAAUCCCCAAGAUGAUACUCUUGGCAAACAUGCCAGACAUUAAUCUUACUGUAGUCUUCUCACCAAGUGCUUCAGCUAGAACAAACUUUACGAUCACCCUGAUCGUACAAUCAUGUUCAUUAAGCAAUACAAGUCACAUUCGCUGCCUCAUAUCAAAAUCCUUCCGAGUAAUGAAUAUUGAAGACUUUUUGGAUUCGUAAAAAUCUUGCAUUCUUACCAAAUAUAAUGCCUUCAUAACUUCACAGCAAGAAUGGUAAUCAUGACUUCCAAGUCACCCGUAGGGUAAUUCAUCUCAUGAGAUUCCAUUUGUCAUGAAACGUAUGCAAUCACCCUAACAUUUGCAUCAACAUGCCUCCAAUACCAUUCAAGAAACAUCACUAAAAAUUUAUGAUUACCACUAUCUUCUAGGAAUACCAAAAUACGUGCAUGAGUGAGGAAAUACUUCAGUUGUUGAAUCCUUUGCUCACAAUUUCCUUCCCACUCAUACAUGACCUCUUUUCUCAACAGUCUCGUCAAUGACAAAGCAAUGACUGAAAAAUCUUUCACAACCAUCCAAGAUAGCCUGGUAAGCUAAGAAAUUCCAAAUCUCAAUUACGACUCGUGGUUGUUCCAAAUUUUAAUUUCUGUUACCUUUUAAGGUUUCACUUGAAUACCUUAAGAAUAUAUAACAUAUCCCAGAAAUGCUGCUUGAUUCAUCCAACAUUCGCAUUUGCUAAACUUAGCAUACAAUCGACAUUCUUCCAAUCUUUGUUCUACCGACUUAAUACGUUUACAUGCUCUGCUCUGGCUCAGAAUAUGCCAGAAUAUCUUCAAUGAAAAUGAUAUCUAUUUAUCAAGGCAUUAUUGGAAUACUUCAUCCAAUAAUUCAUAAAACAGCAUGAGUAUCCAUAUAGCAUCACCAAAUUUCAUAAAAACUAUAACGAGUCCAGAAAAACAAUCUUAGGAACAACGUUACUCAUAAUCUUCAAUUGAUAAUAAACAGACCUCAAGAUCCAUUUUCUUCCUCACCAACAAAUUGGGGCUCCUCAAAAGUGUUGUACUAGGUUGAAUAAAACUUUUAUCAACCAAUUCUCUCAACUGAAUUUCCAAUUCCCUUAACUCAUCAUGAACCAAUCUUUAACAUAAAUUUAUACCUGGCAACAAUUCAAUAGUGAACCUCAUAUCUCUGCCUGAAGGCAAUCCAGGUAUACUUUCAAGGAAGACAUCAAGAAAAGUCUAACUCUUUCGACAUUAUUCACACUACUCCAAACAACAUCAUUUAGCACCACAUGAGCUAAGUAUUUUUGACAGCCUUUCGAAAACAAUCUCUUUGCUCUCACAGCAUAAAUAAUGGCUGAACUCAAUCCACUUUGCAUACUUACAAAAGUAAUCUCUGGUCAUCCAGAUCGAUGGAAAGUACUGGUUUCCCUUAACAUUCCGUCUUGUCACAAUUAUAACCAACCAAUCUAAUGGAACAGAAUUAACUGAUACAAUACAUACUCUAUUACUACUAAGCAUUCUGAAUAAGUACAACACUAACAUAAAAUAACCUACCGGUUUGCUUGCUUAAUGAAUCCACGAAUGAGUUAUUAAUAUUACGGUCUGCAGCCCGCAAUACUGAUAAAUCAUCGUUGUCUCAAUAAGUAGGCAACCACUCUCAAAGAUAUAACAUUACUAAUUUGUCACUCAAUGCAAAAUACAUACACUCGUCUCAACUACAUUUAUUUACUACUCUUUAGGUAAUAACAUACAUAAUAAGAAAUAUAUCAGCCGAAGUCAACUAGAAUGACCAAUACGGCUGAUUCAACUCUUAUCUCAAUAAUACGUCGGCCGGAUCCACUCCGCGUGGUCGGUACGGCCGAGCCUAUAACUCACCAAUUUCUCAUGCGUCAGCCAGAUCCACCUCUCAUGGUCUGUACGGCUGAACAUAUAACUCAUCAAAUCUCUCUGUACCCACGGUCAAUCCGACCAAACUACUAAGUCCAUAAACCUGCUGAAUUGAUACUACGAUGUCAUAGAAAAUUGUUGGGUACAACUGAUUUUAGGGACGAUUCACAAUUCUGUGUCCCCUCUGUUCACAUAAACACAUUUAUUAAUUUCACACUUCCCAAAGUGUUAAUUUUUGUACCUGCUGCACAAGGUACAUUUCCUUUACUCGAAACACCUUGUCUCAAAUAUCUGGGAUUACCAGUAUAUCCAUCACUUUUACUCUGACCAGCGACAUUAAAACCUCAGCUGGAAGAAUUAAUUCUAGCUUCACUUCUUUCGAAGCUCUGAAUCUUUCUAUAUCCUUGAUAUGACGAAUCAUUAACUUUAUCGUCAACUUCCUUGAUUCACAUUUGCAAACUCUUGCUUACUACCAUCGAUAAAUGCCGGAGGGAUAAACUUUUCCUUAAACAAGUCCUUAAACAAUUCUCAAUCGACUAUUCCUCCGGUGACAACAAAUCAUACUCCUGUUUCCACCAGUAUACAAAUUCAUACCCAAAACCAGGUAGUCGUCUCGACCCCCUGUCAGAAGGAAGAUUCCUUUGACUUGCAUAAUCUGAAACAUCUUUUCCAAAUGGUUAAACCGUUACUUCGCUCCCUCAGGUUCAUCAUUUCAUAAGGUGAUUCAAAUUCGACUCAUAACCCGUCUUAAAAUGUCCCUUUAGACAAUAGACUGAAUCACCAUAGUAAUAGUUUCCCCCUAAACCGCUAAAUCAGGGAGACUAAGUUCCUCUAACUACGUGGCUUGCUACGAGGCGGUGUAGUUCUGACAGAAUUCACUAGAACUUCUCAAAAUGUCCAAGAUUGCAACCAUGCUCUGAUACCAACUGACACACCCCGUCCCGAAGGAGGGCAUGCUGGCCGUCACGUGAGAGUGACGUAACCAUUUGCACAGUACGGAAGCUUUAAGAUACAAUUUAUAAGUUGAUACACCCGAAGGUGAGUCCUAAUUUUGUCCAAUCUGUCAGAACACCGUCGAAUUCCUCGUAGUCACCACACCUUUGUGAUUCCUGAACCUGGAGGGGCGCAAAACCAAAAUUGAGUGGGUCAGUAAAACAAUUCUUUUCCAAAUCCAAACAUUUCUCAAAACGUUGUAACCCCUCUCCGUAAAACCUGUAUACUUUCCCAGAAAUGUAAAAUAUAAAUAUACAUAUAUAUUCUCAAUACUUCAAUUCAUUAACUCAACAUUUUUCAGUACAAAUAUGCCAUGCCAUGUCGGAAUUCAACAGUUAAUUAUGGAUGCAUCAACAAUAAUCAUAUCAGGUGUAAGAAAGUGAUCAACCGGAGGCCCUCUAAUAGCCCUGUACGGUUGAACCUAGAGCUCAAAAUCUAUCACUAUCACUCUGCCGGAGUCACCUCUGUGACCUGUACGGCCUUCUGCACAUAAGUUACGCUCUAGUGCUUUCUCAUUAAUCAUCUGUGCACAUAAUCUAAGGUCACCCACCAGUCGAAAUCUCACUAACACUCUUCGACUGGCCCGUCGCACCCACUCCGCGUGGACUGUGCGACCAGCAUCUACUUGGAUCCAAGGCGAGCGUGCGAUGCGGUGAAUACUAUAAGCACUAAACUAUGGUGCAGGAUUUGAGCUCAAUAUACAUCAACAUCAUCAUAUCAGUAUUUAAAUACUCACCUGAUACUCACCUGUGCGUCCGCCGCACCAUUCAUUCAUAUGCAUCAUAUCUCAAUUCAUACUUUUCAUAUCAUUUCAUGCAUGGCAAUUCGAUUCACAUUUCUAUAUACUAUGCAUAUACUUUUAUGCAUGGCAUCUCAAUUCACAUUUCAAUAUACUUUUCAUAUAAUUUUAUACAUUGCAUUUAAAGCAUAAUUUCAUGCAUUUUCAAUUUCUGGGAAAACGGUAAGUAUAGUAUAUAUGUAUACGGAAAAACAAAACUGCCCUCACUCCUGGAGUUUCGCCCUACAACUCCCUAGCACAAUACGCCAAAGCGUCAUGACGAUCGGCGCCUAAAACAAUAAUCAAUUCCAACCUCAGAAUUCAUAUCGAUAGAAUAUAUAACUUAUACAAAAUACGUCACUACGUAGUUCAAUCCGGAAGAUCCACCACUCAGAUUUUAAAUCCAUAACUUCCAGAGGUCCACAAUAUAUCUCUAGGAUAACUUCCUAAAAUUUCAUUACCAUCCAACGGUCGGAUCUCCGUCAAUUUCCAAAACUAAGUGACGGUUAACAUUUUAUUUUAUGAACUUACAACUCCAAUUCCGGAAGAUCCGUAACUCGGAUUCCCAAUCCGUAAGUUCCAAUAAUCCUCAAACAUUACGUAUUGCAACGUAUUAAAUUUUGGUAACGAUCCAACGGUCGGAUCAUCAAUUCACAUUUUCACCUAAUGCGAAAACUAUAAAACGUUAUUCGAACACCUAACCAACAAUCCUUAAUAACUUUCUCAUACGGUGCUCAAUUUGGGUAUAUGAAUAUACCACAGUGAUCUACUCGACGUCACGGACGUCGACAUAUUUUUAAAAUAAUAUUUUAAUGUAUCACGCGCCCCCACGCGCCAAGGAAGGCACGGGUCCACGCGCGCCCACGCGCACCUUCUUCCUCGCGGGUUCGCCGGACUGGUUUUUCCGGUGGCCGGAAAACUGGGGAAUUUUCAAAUGCUUCGUUCUCCUUCGUUUCUCAACCAUUUUCUUCGUAUAAUAUAUCAAUUUAAAGCCCUCAACAUGUAGAAUCACAAUAUACUACUUUUAAGCUUCAAAAACAACUAAAUCUCACCGGAAAAAUCCAAGCAAAACCGGCCAAACUUAACCCUCGUGAUCCCGACGUCCAAAUCCUUCCAACGAAGCACUCCGAGCUUCCUUGGGACCUCACUAAGCUCGCUGUGAUCUUGUUUUAGCCUAAAUCGUAACCAUUUAAAAGAUCAUGAACAGUACAUAAACACGGGACCUUAAAAACUAGGGUUUUCCGAAGCAAAACUUACCUGAAAUGGAUACCAUCGUGAUCGUGAAGUCUUCAGGGUUCCAAUGGUGGUCUUAGAUUCGUCGUUGGUAUAGAUUUAGGGUGGUUUUGUGGUGGUCCGUGUGAGUUCGAAUGAGAGGGAGAGAGAACUGAGAGUUUCGUGAGGGAGGAGAGAGAGAGUGACAAGGUACGGGAAUUGGGGAAGGUUUUGAGGGAUGUGGGAUCCCCCCGUGUCCAACUCAAUCUCAAUUUCAAACUUUUAACAUAGAGUCUUGGUUUAGGUUUCUAAAACCAAUUAAUAUUCCAAUUCACCAAAGUUUAAGAACCUUAAGUAAAAACAAGUGUCCAAAUUACGUACUUUAGUCCCGUUUAGGGACAUUUUCGUAACUUCACGUCCUCGGAAUUAAAAAUUCCGGGACGGGCUGUGACAUCUGCAUACGUUUUAUGAAGUUUUGUGCGGCGAAAAUGACACAAAAAUAGAAUUUUCUAGAAUUUAGGAAAACUGAGUAAAAUGAUGGGAGCAUUUUUGCUCACCACCAUAAACUAUGGUGUAUACUCACCACACACCCAAUCAAUUGACACUUGUUAUUUCACUUAAUCUUGGUUAAUUUUUUUCAAAAUUGAAAAAUUAACAUUUAAUGUGAAAGUUAACUAGAGUUAAGUGAAAUGACAUGUGUUAUUUCACUUAAUCUUGGUUAAUUUUUUUCAAAAUUGAAAAAUUAACAUUUAAUGUGAAAGUUAACUAGAGUUAAGUGAAAUGACACGUGUCAAUUGAUUAGAUGUAUGGUGAGCAUACACCGUAGUUUUAUGGUGGUGAGCAAAAAUGCUCCCGUAAAAUGAUAGCCUACAAUCUUUGUGAGCAAUGCGUUAUUGAGUUUUCAUAAGAUCUUUUGCCAAAUAUGCAAAAAAAAAAAAAAAAAAAAAAAAAAAAGUUAUAGGCCACUUGGAAACGGAUCUCCUGUAUAAAUGUGGAAUAAAUAAUGAUGUUAAAAAAAAUAAACUAAGUGAAUUUUUAUUGACAUGUAAGUAUUCCUCCAUCAUUUAUUGAUUAACACAUAUAAUGACAUUUAGCUCAAAGUGAAGAGCAAAAAUAUGCACUGAAUCAUUUUGUAAAGAAAAAGAAAACCAAGAAUAUGAAUGCCUUCGAAGCUGUUUUUGGUAUUUGUUGUUCUUGACAGGUACGAAUUGCAAUGCAUUUUUUGCUGCCUUGCUUAUGUUCUCUGCAUAGUAAUAAGUUAAUAACCAGUUCAUGAUAUUCUGUUGACUUACAUAAAAAGCACGGCCAAAAGUUCAGUGAUAUAUUUGGAUGAAAAUAGUUUGUUUUAAAAAAAUGUCUGUCCGGGGCUUGUAACUCCAGCUACUAAGAGUAUUUACCUUAAAAAUCGAAACAAAGUCGACUUUGAGGGCGUGCAAUAUGUGCGACUGCAUAGGACCCCGACUUUUUAGGGCCCUGAAUUUUAAUAACCUUUUGUGAAAGUAGUACAUGUUUAUAAGACGCGGGAAUAUUAAAUACAAUAGUGCUUAGCUGAGUUGUCAAGCUUCCAUUAUUUUCGAAUCCCUGCCUUCAUGUUUGUUAUUUUUGUUUUUAUUUUCCAAUUGUGGUAUUAUAGUGUGUUUACAUAAGAAGAGUGGAAUGAGAGAAAUGAGAAUUGCACUCAUUCCAAGUUAUUCAAGUGUUUAUUAACACUUGGGGUUUAGGGUUGUUUCUCUGUCUCUAUGGGCAACGACCAAUAUGAAAGAAGAAAAUGGAGAAAAGAGAUGGGAAAGCUGAAAAGAGUUGGGGGAUGGGGUGCAGCGCGGACUUCACGAGAAAGUAAAAAGAAUUGGGGGAUGGGGAAGAAAAAUCAGAAGGGAAGAAGAAGAAGAAUCAAGAGUGAAGAAUCAGAAGAAGAUGGGAAAAAGAGAUGGGAAAUCUGAAAAGAGUUGGGGGAUGGGGUGGGGGCUUUACCAGAAAGAAAAAGGAAUUGGGGGAUGGGGAAGAAGGCAUUACAGGUGAGGAUUAGUUUAGGUCUAGUUGUGGUAGAUGGAUUAGUUAAUUCAGUCCAACAAAAACACUAAAUAUACAGUGCCUAAUUUUAAAAAGCCAGAAAGGCAAUUACUCAAGUUUGCGAAUCCAACAGAGAAAUUAUUGCACAGCCUCUCAAACAAACCAAACCAAACUGACCCUCCCUCUCAAUAUAAUCUCCCUCGUUCACCAAUUUCUCCUCAUCAGCCAAAAUAUGAAGGCUGUCUACUUUCUACUUUCCUUUCUUCUCUUCUCUUCCUUCUCAUCAUUCUCUUCCGCUCUAACUGAUGCCGAAGUGUCCUCCAUUACUCGCCGUCAGCUCUUACAUUUUCACGAAGGCGAUGACCAACGCGAUGAAAAAGAAUAUGAGGUUGAGUUGAACGUAACUUUCCCUCACACCAGGCUUAGACGUGCAUACAUUGCACUCCAAGCUUGGAAAAAGGCAAUUUACUCAGACCCUCUUAAAACAACUGAGAAUUGGGUUGGUGGUGAUGUUUGUGCUUACACCGGAGUGUUUUGUGCCCCUGCACUUGAUGACCCGAAAAUAGAGGUUGUGGCCGGCAUUGAUAUCAACCAUGCAGACAUUGCAGGAUACCUUCCGGUUGAAUUAGGCCUGCUGAGUGACAUUGCAUUGUUCCACAUCAACACUAACAGGUUUUGUGGUGUCAUUCCCAAGAGCUUUGCUAGGUUAACUCUUCUCCACGAGCUUGAUGUUAGCAACAACCAAUUCGUGGGAUCGUUCCCUGAAGUUGUUCUCAAAAUUCCCAACCUCAAGUAUCUUGACCUCAGGUUUAAUGACUUCGAGGGAAAAUUGCCUCCUGAGCUUUUCAACAAGGAAUUGGAUGCUUUGUUCUUGAACAACAACAAGUUCACAUCCACCAUUCCUGACACACUUGGAAACUCCCCCGUCUCGGUUCUUGUGGUCUCCAACAAUCGUCUAGAAGGUUGCAUUCCUCACACCAUAGGAAAGAUGGUGAACACCUUGAAUGAGGUCAUCUUCUCUGAAAACAAGUUUGGUGGGUGUUUGCCUAAUGAAAUCGGAUACCUCUCAAAUGUGACGGUGUUUGAUGUUAGCUCAAACACAUUCAACGGGAUCAUGUCGAAAAAAUUCGAAGGCUUUCAAAAGGUGGAGGAGUUGAACAUUGCACAUAACAUGCUAACCGGGUUUGUUCCUGAGUGUUUAUGCAACUUGCCUAGCUUGGGAAAUUUCACAUUUUCCUACAACUACUUCAAUGGUGAGGCCAAAAAAUGUGUGCCGGUUUCUCAGAAGGGCGUUGUGUUUGAAGACACAAACAAUUGCUUGCCGGAUAGGCCUAAACAGAAGUCAGCAAAACAAUGUCAAGUUGUAGUGAGCAAGCCAGUGGAUUGUAGUAAGGCAAAGUGUGGAGGUGGAUCAGGACCUUCAAAACCUUCCCUUCCUACACCAAAACUGCAACCACCUAUUCACUCUGCACCACCACAUGUACAAAUGCCUUCAUUCCCUGCACCUUCAGGUCAAAGUCCAGUUGUUCCAAUUCACCCUAAGUCACCACCGGUUCAUUCACCACCACCACCACCAUUCCAUUCUCCUCCACCACCUAUAGCAACACCACCAUCACCCGCAUCUAUAGGGCAAAGUCCCGUUGUUCCAAUUCAACCUAAAUCACCCAUACCACUAAGGCAAACUCCUCCACCACCAUUAGUCAACUCAUCCCCACCACCAAUUUACUCUCCCCCACCACCAGUGCACUCACCCCCACCACCGGUCCACUCACCCCUACCACCAGUCCAUUCUCCACCACCACCAGUUCACUCACCCCCACCACUGGUCCAGUUACCUUCACCAUCAGUGCACUCGCCUCCACCACCAAUCCAUUCUCCUCCACCACCAGUCCAUUCUCCUCCACCCCCAGUUUACUCUCCUCCACCACCAGUCCACUCUCCACAUCCCCCUGUACAGUCACCUUCACCACCAGUCCACUCUCUUCCACCACCUGUGCACUCACCCCCACCACCAGUCCACUCAUUGCCGUCGCCAAUCCAUUCUCCACCCCCACCAAUCCACUAUCCACCUCCCCCUGUACAGUCACCUUCACCACCAGUCCACUCUCUUCCACCACCUAUGCACUCACCCCCACCACUAGUCCACUCACCACCGCCACCAAUCCACUCUCCACCACCUGUGCACUCUCCGCCACCGCCAUUCCACUAUCCACCACCACCUGUGCAUUCUCUUCCUCCACCUAUGCACUCAACCCCACCACCAAUCCACUCACCACCGCCACCAAUCCACUUUCCACCACCUGUGCACUCUCCGCCACCGCCAUUCCACUCUCCACCACCACCUGUGCACUCUCCGCCACCGCCAUUCCACUCUCCACCACCACCUAUACAAUCACCGCCACCACCAGUCCACUCUCCUCCCCCACGUGUGCACUCACCCCCACUACCAGUCCACUCACCUCCACCACCUGU